AACGAACGCUGGCGGCAUGCCUAACACAUGCAAGUCGAACGAUGCCUUCGGGCAUAGUGGCGCACGGGUGCGUAACGCGUGGGAAUCUGCCUUUCGGUUCGGAAUAACUCAGGGAAACUUGAGCUAAUACCGGAUAACGUCGCAAGACCAAAGAUUUAUCACCGAAAGAUGAGCCCGCGUAGGAUUAGCUAGUUGGUGAGGUAAAGGCUCACCAAGGCGACGAUCCUUAGCUGGUCUGAGAGGAUGAUCAGCCACACUGGGACUGAGACACGGCCCAGACUCCUACGGGAGGCAGCAGUGGGGAAUAUUGGACAAUGGGCGAAAGCCUGAUCCAGCAAUGCCGCGUGAGUGAUGAAGGCAUUAGGGUUGUAAAGCUCUUUUACCCGGGAAGAUAAUGACGGUACCGGGAGAAUAAGCCCCGGCUAACUCCGUG
rnacentral:rRNA from 1 species